GGGGCCCUUUCUACCUAGUACCCUCCCCUGGACUGGUAUUACAGCCGAGACAGACAGGGGCCCUUUCUACCUAGUACCCUCCCCUGGACUGGUAUUACAGCUGAGACAGACAGGGGGCCCUUUCUACCUAGUACCCUCCCCUGGACUGGUAUUACAGCCGAGACAGACAGGGGACCCUUUCUACUCAGGCACAGGGAGGGGCAGCUCAGAACCUUUGUGGUCCUGAGUGAUUCUCUGCCACAACAACUAACAUGGAUUUAAAAAAGGAAAGUGUAACAAUGGUCCUUCUGUGUUAGUGGCUGAAAAUGUCAGGUCUUCCUCUUCUGAUGCUAUGAUGCCCAGUUCUGUCUGUGUGUAGUCUGGUGCUGGGAGGUUACUAGGCUUCACAGACAACAGUCUGGUGCUCUGAGGUUACUAGGCUUCACAGACAACAGUCUGGUGCUGUGAGGUUACUAGGCUUCACAGACAACAGUCUGGUGCUCUGAGGUUACUAGGCUUCACAGACAACAGUCUGGUGCUGGGAGGUUACUAGGCUUCACAGACAACAGUCAGACUUCCUGUCUGUAAGCGUCCCCAUGUUCAGAAUUAUAUUUGUAUUAUUCUCACUAGUCUUUAUUUACACAUUUAAUAUUUCUUGGGAGCUGCUUGUGUCUGGAUGGUGUGCUAACCUGUUUGACAUUAUAAUAAUGUAAUAUAAUUUAUAUCGUUUGUAUUAUUCUAACAUAAUAUUGUGGGUCUUUUUUAUUCUGUAAUUUCUUCCUGGGGGUUUUAUAGGAUCGGGGGGGGGGUGUAUAUUAACACCAGUCUAAACCAGCUUCACCUGGAGCUGCUAUGGGACAAUAAAAU
ensembl:lncRNA